CGGGCAUAGCAAUAUGUCAGCGGCAGACGGGUGAGUAACGCGUGGGAACGUACCUUUUGGUUCGGAACAACUGAGGGAAACUUCAGCUAAUACCGGAUAAGCCCUUACGGGGAAAGAUUUAUCGCCGAAAGAUCGGCCCGCGUCUGAUUAGCUAGUUGGUGAGGUAAUGGCUCACCAAGGCGACGAUCAGUAGCUGGUCUGAGAGGAUGAUCAGCCACAUUGGGACUGAGACACGGCCCAAACUCCUACGGGAGGCAGCAGUGGGGAAUAUUGGACAAUGGGCGCAAGCCUGAUCCAGCCAUGCCGCGUGAGUGAUGAAGGCCCUAGGGUUGUAAAGCUCUUUUGUGCGGGAAGAUAAUGACGGUACCGCAAGAAUAAGCCCCGGCUAACUUCGUGCCAGCAGCCGCGGUAAUACGAAGGGGGCUAGCGUUGCUCGGAAUCACUGGGCGUAAAGGGUGCGUAGGCGGGUCUUUAAGUCAGGGGUGAAAUCCUGGAGCUCAACUCCAGAACUGCCUUUGAUACUGAAGAUCUUGAGUUCGGGAGAGGUGAGUGGAACUGCGAGUGUAGAGGUGAAAUUCGUAGAUAUUCGCAAGAACACCAGUGGCGAAGGCGGCUCACUGGCCCGAUACUGACGCUGAGGCACGAAAGCGUGGGGAGCAAACAGGAUUAGAUACCCUGGUAGUCCACGCUGUAAACGAUGAAUGCCAGCCGUUAGUGGGUUUACUCACUAGUGGCGCAGCUAACGCUUUAAGCAUUCCGCCUGGGGAGUACGGUCGCAAGAUUAAAAUUAAAGGAAUUGACGGGGGCCCGCACAAGCGGUGGAGCAUGUGGUUUAAUUCGACGCAACGCGCAGAACCCUUACCAGCCCUUGACAUCCCGGUCGCGGACUCCAGAGACGAGUUCUUCAGUUCGGCUGGACCGGAGACAGUGCUGCAU
rnacentral:rRNA from 1 species